CAUUUUGACAACUAAAAUAUUGAUAGCUCAUACCAUAAACAUGGAACUUGAUCAAGUGGAAAUAGAUAAACUUGGUGAAAAGAAAAUAUGCGUUGGAAUAGAUUUAAUUCAACAGUUAAAUUGUUUGGAUCAUAUUCAAGGUAUCGGAAAAAUACGAAAGAAAAUUUCUACUGAGAUUUCAACACUGCAAAAUACAUUAAUUUUGAAGCGGCUGACGAUUAAUAAUAUUAUAUGUAGUAAUUUAAUACAUUUUGCUUAUUUAGUCAAAAUUUUGAAUAAAACAGAAAAUGUUCAAGGGGUUGAUUUUCCCAUUAAAAUACAUGGAAGUCCGAAGGCAUCAAUUCGAAUUGACAUCGUAACAGACAAUGGCAAAACAUGGAUAAAAGUAAUUGCAAGAAAUCCAAUAGCUUUAUGCGAUAUUGCAUUUGGGCGCUCAAAUUAUGGUUCUAAAAGUGUUAUCGAUCAUGCAAAUAACUACAUUGAAGCCGCAAGGGAAAAUCCACAAUGUUUUCAAAUUCCAAAGAUUAUUUUUGAUUUCGCAAAUCAAAUUGAUGAAGAACUAAAGAGCUCAUUGGAAAACUUGAAUAUUAUAGUUCGCAUUGAUGGCAGUUCGCGAAAUGAAAUAAGUCAAUCUGUUGACACUAUUUCUAAAUUAAACCUGGAUGUAACAGCAAUGAUGGCUUUUGUAUCGUCUUUAACUUGUGAGUCAAGUAUGUGGGAAUUCAAUCAACCGAUCUUAUCUGAACAAGCUCAAGCCGAACGUCGCUCAUCCACAAAAGCUUUUUUGGACAAAGUGUUUGAAGGCAAAGAAUUAAUAGCAUGCACAACUGCGAAAGAGAGUUUUUUACGUAUCUUAAGCGUAGUUGGAGGACCCAAUGAACAAAAACGAGCAAAGAAAUUCUUAAGAUCUAUUACAAUACUACACGAUUUGAAUGAAGAUGAAGAAGAAUUUUUAUGGUCAAGCCAAAAAAGUCGUUUAUGUUUAGCUAAAAAAAUUCAAAAUCGAACAUAUAAAAUAUUUUCGUUUGGUAUGUAUCAUAAAGCAUUUACCGUUACGGCAAACAAAAGUGCAAUAGAAGCGGCAAAAAUGCAGGGUUUAUCUAUUCCAGCUAUCAUACAUGAAGCUAGAGCUUUAACAGAGCAAAAACAAUAUACAGCUAAGAAAGUUUAAUAAAAAAAGGAUUUUUCCUCAUGAAAUAUUAACAAUAAAAUAAUAACUGCAGCGAACAGCGUUCCAUCGCCUUGGUGUGUGGAUUCCAAGUUUCUGAUCCACAAGAUCAGCGUACAUUAAGUACAAAUUGCUGAUGGACCAACUAAUUGACGAAGAUCCAAAGGAAUUCUUUACGUAGGUUGCUCCAUAAUUUUUUUUAAAAUGGUACUUAUAGUGUUGCCCGAUGUAAACCAUUGUCAUAUUCGUAAAGUUUGAUGUUUUGGUAUGUAUU